GACGGAGGGGGCAAGCGUUGUCCGGACUCACUGGGCGUAAAGGGUGCGCAGGCGGCAGAGCGCGUCCGCGCUGAAAUCUGUUGGCUUAACUGACAGGCGCGUGCGGAUACGGCUCAGCUCGAGGCACGGAGAGGGUGGGGGAACUCCUGGUGUAGUGGUGAAAUGCGUAGAGAUCAGGAAGAACACCCGUGGCGCAAGCGCCCACCUGGCCGUGACCUGACGCUGAGGCACGAAAGCGUGGGGAGCGAACCGG
rnacentral:rRNA from 1 species